AAACCAGCACCUCAAGUGGUCAGGAGGAUUAUUGGGCCUAAAGCAUCCGUAGCCUGUUCAAUAAGUUUCCGGUUAAAUCCAUUAGCUCAACUAAUGGGCUGCCGGAAAUACUGUAGAACUAGGGAGUGGGAGAGGUAGACGGUACUCGGUAGGAAGGGGUAAAAUCCUUUGAUCUAUUGAUGACCACCAGUGGCGAAGGCGGUCUACCAGAACACGUUCGACGGUGAGGGAUGAAAGCUGGGGGAGCAAACCGGAUUAGAAACCCGAGUAGUCC
rnacentral:rRNA from 1 species